UUCAGCGGCGCACUCCUUCCUGAGUUCCAUCUCCACUCUCCAGAUCUCCUUUGAUCGUCUCUUCAGCCGCUUCCCCUUCGAAACUCCAGAGUCCAGACUAGCCGUUUUCCUUCAGCUGCUCCAGUCGUGAUUGGGUAAUUCCUCCGCCGUCGUUCCCCUCCGAUCGUUCGAAGAUCCUGUUUCCGUUCUCCUUCGUUCGAAGCUCCAGACUCGCCGUUCUCCUUGGUUCCUUCGUGCGAUCUCUUCUUCAACUUCGUCUACUUCGAUCUCGCGCUUUCAUCUCCAGUCGCUGGUGCUCGUCCUUCAGAUGCGAAGAAUAUGAGGUUGAUCUUAGUAAUCAAUAUUUUUACUCACAUUCUAAACAUUAAAAUCCCACCAUGGAUCCUGGAGCUCACCAACGCCAGAGCAUGCAUUUAGACUCAAAAAAGUGGAGCUCACCUGCACCAAACCACGCAUUUAGACUAAAAUGGUGGGGCCAGAAGUACUUACAAAUGGCCUACUAUUUCAUGUUGACAGUGGGGUUCAAAUCUGCAACCUAAUGGAUUAUGGGUCAUUGAAUUUGGAGGCAUGUCCUAGUCCUGGCUUGGUUAUGGGUUUAAGUCACCAAAUUAUACGUGAAGGUGCUGAAGAAGUUGUUCAUGAAUCAGAUAUAUUUUCUCACAUUCUAAGCAUUAAAACCAUCUCAUGAAUCGAUAGCUGACGGAGUUAGAUAUAAUGGUCUCGCCGACAAUGAUAUUCCGGGAGGCCUCCAUAACCCGUUAAACAAGUAGAGGUUAAGAGGGGUGAGGUAUGCCACCUUCAGCUCACCUGAAGACAAGGGAGCCUCUAUUGAUCACAGAAGAGAAUAUAAUGAGAUAAAGCACCAGAAAUUAAUAUGAUCUUCUUAUUACCAAGAAUCAGAAGGUGUAUAUGAAAAAGCAUUGCUUUUGAUCAUAGAAAAGCUCAGCCAUAAGGAGAUGGAAACAGAAAAUCAUUGGAGAUUAUUUUGUCAAUGUCAUUACCAGGACGAGACAAAGUUUAACUACCGUCAAUAUUUUUUUUUCAAAUUUUAUUUUUUAAAAUUUUUCAAAUGUUGAAGGAUGUAACAUGUAAUUUAUACCACGAAACAUGCAUUUUUAUACAUAGCAAAAAGCUUGAUAUGAGUUAUAUAAAUUUUAUGUAUUGUGAUAACUUGCUAUGAAUUAGAUGGAGCUUUCAUGGAUGCAUGUAUGACCGUGGCCAAAACCG